UACGAAGGGGGCUAGCGUUGCUCGGAAUCACUGGGCGUAAAGGGUGCGUAGGCGGGUCUUUAAGUCAGGGGUGAAAUCCUGGAGCUCAACUCCAGAACUGCCUUUGAUACUGAGGAGCUUGAGUCCGGGAGAGGUGAGUGGAACUGCGAGUGUAGAGGUGAAAUUCGUAGAUAUUCGCAAGAACACCAGUGGCGAAGGCGGCUCACUGGCCCGAUACUGACGCUGAGGCACGAAAGCGUGGGGAGCAAACAGG
rnacentral:rRNA from 1 species